rnacentral:rRNA from 1 species
GACGAACGCUGGCGGCGUGCUUAACACAUGCAAGUCGAACGGAAAGGCCCUGCUGUUGUGGGGUGCUCGAGUGGCGAACGGGUGAGUAACGCGUGAGUAACCGGCCCUUGACUUUGGGAUAACGUCAGGAAACUGGGGCUAAUGCCGGAUAGGAGCUCCUGCUGCAUGGUGGGGGUUGAAAAGUUUCGGCGGGUGGGGAUGGACUCGCGGCAUAUCAGCUUGUUGGUGGGGUAGUUGCUAACCAAGGCAUCGACGGGUAGCCGGACUGAGAGGGUGACCGGCCCCAUUGGGACUGAGAUACGGCCCAGACUGAUACGUGAGCCAUCAGUGGGGAAUAGUGCACAAUGGGCGGCAGCCUGAUGCAGCAACGCCGCGUGCGGGAUGACGGCCUUCGGGUUGUAAACCGCUUGCGCCUGUGACGAAGCGUGAGUGACGGUAAUGGGCAAAGAAGCACCGGCUAACUACGUG